rnacentral:rRNA from 1 species
GCAGUAGCCGCGGGAAUACGUAGGUGGCAAGCGUUGUCCGGAUUUACUGGGCGUAAAGCGAACGCAGGCGGACUGUUAAGUAGGAAGUGAAAGGUCGGGGCUCAACUCCAACAUUGCUUCCUAUACUGGCAGUCUUGAGUAGCGGAAAGGAAGGGGGAACGACACGUGUAGCGGUGAAAUGCGUUGAUAUGUGUCGGAACACCCAUGGCGAAAGCACCCUUCUGGACGCAAACUGACGCUCAGGUUCGAAAGCCAAGGUAGCGAACAGGAUUAGAUACCCCCGUAGUCCCUGUCUCUUAUAC